UUGUGAGGAUAUCCAAGCAGCCCAUGGAGAGGCUCAUAUAGAGAAGAACUGAGUCUGUUUGCAACAGCCACCUCUGGUUUGCCAAACAUGAUGCGCCAUCUUGGAAGGAGAUUCUCCAGCCCAGUCGAGCUUUCAGAUGACUACAGCCCAGCUAAUAUCUUGACUGCAGCCUUAUGACAGACUGAUGAGACCCACAGAGGACACCAUGCUGUGGACGUCAGGGGCACUGAGUCAGUCUGGGUCCUGUCACUCCAGGCUGAAGGAGCCCGUGGGGUGUAGUGACCAGAUCCCAGGGACAGCUGCAGCUAGGAGAGAGCCUGGGACAGGAGACUCGGCCCCCCAGAGGUCAAAGGCAGCCAGAAACCAGAGGGCAAGAAAACCUCUUGGUAUAGACCACUGAGCUCAGCCUCCUGGAUCUCAGAGCAAAGCGGAGACGGCUGGAGAGUGCAGCUGGAGAGGCCAGCGGAGAAUAUUCUGCAGACUUGUUCUGAAAAAUAACUCCCAGGGUUAAAGCUAUUAGAAGGUAAGGUUUUCAAGAUGGA